UUAAAUACAAGAAUAAAAACAUAGCCUUUCUCAUUUUCAUAUGUUAAUAUGCAUAUGACAACCUCAUUAUAUAGAUGAGAUUAUAUUUGCAAGAAGUAAAACCUUGCCUUUCUCAUUUUCAUAUGUUAAUAUGCAUAUUACAACCUCAUUAUAUAGAUGAUAUUAUAUUUCAAAGAAGUAAAACCUAGCAUUUUUCAUUUUCAUAUGUUAAUAUGCAUAUUACAACCUCAUUGUAUAGAUGAGAUUAUAAUUAAAACAAGUAAAAC
rnacentral:lncRNA from 1 species